UGUCAUGCUCUGAUGUUCUAUUUGAUCUUUUCCUUCAUUGUUGCUAGGUCUGUGCUACAUUCUACUAGGAAGUUGGUUCUUCUCUUUACUUUUAUUUAUGUAACUGAGCUAUAGAGUGAUGGAUGUUAAAUGAUCUAAUGGUUCUCUUUACUUUUAUUUAUGUAACUGAGCUAUAGAGUGAUGGAUGUUAAAUGAUCUAAUGGUUGGAUGAAUGAAGUACAAAUGGAAGCUUCAAAUAAAUGCUGUGUUGUGCCUUCAGUUUCAAGAUUUUAGAAUUCUG
rnacentral:lncRNA from 1 species